CACACACACACACACACACAAUUAAGAAACAAUGAUUUCUCUCAUACUAAUGCUGUGGACAUUUGCUCAAGUGUCUUAUGGAGAGGUUCAGUCUCCUGAGUCUCUGUCUGUUAAAGCAGGAGAUUCUGUCUCUAUCAGCUGCACUGGGACCAGCGGAGUUGGUGAUGACAUGAGUUGGUAUCUGCAGAAACCUGGAGAAGCUCCUAAACUCCUGAUCUACACAGCCAGUCACCUUGAAUCUGGAGUCCCAGAUCGGUUCAGUGGAAGUGGGUCUGAACCCGAUUUCACACUGAACAUACAUGAAGUCCAGCCUGAAGAUGCAGGAGUUUAUUACUGUAUGGGGGCUUAUGAUGGCCCAGUAUUAACACAGUGAAACAGCAUCGUACAAAAACCUCCCUCAUUCAGACACCUGCCAAUGCUGAGAAGUUCACAAUAUCAAUAUCAUAACUAGUCUUACUCUCUAGUUAUUUCAGUACAAAUGAAAUUUGAACAAACACAUUCUGGCUGUGUUUGUAACAAAACAUAUUCUCACAUUUGUCCUUUUAAUUUUUUUAAUCCUAAAACGAGAAUUGUGUAAAUUUCAGGCUAUAGGUGCCGUAAUUUGUAACAUUUUAAACAACAGUUAAAACAAUUGGUAAGAUUCUAAUUAUUCAGUCUGUUCAUAAAAGUUUAAUUGUCAUUAUUUCAGCAAAAAAGAAUAUAAAUGAAGAAAGAUUAGCCUUAUGUUAAUUAUCGCCAAUCAUCUUUGACUCAGUUGUCAAGAUUCU